CGUUAAAAUUUAUCGUCUCAAAAAACGUUGAAGAUGACAAAAUGCAUAUGAUCGUUACACAAAAAGAGUAGUCUAUUUUCUCUCUCUCUCUUGCUCUUGAGCUCUUUCUCAGGAGUGAUAAGUACCGUAACCUCCGCUCCCCCUCUCUCUCUCUCACACAGAAGUGAAACCGUAACCUCCAUUCCCUCUCAAAUUCUUUGUCCAUUCUAUUGACCUGUCUCACGAACUACCCUAACCCUUUGAUAUUCUUUUGUUGCUCUGCAUCGGUUCUUGUUGGAAGCAAGGGUACGAACAACAGAGCUGUUGAGGGCAAAACGGCUAUUGUCGAGGAAGGUGGGAUUCCUCCGUUGGUUGCUCUCUCACAGUCACGAAGCGCCCGAGCUAAGCACAAGAAGAUGGAUAGGUCUUUGUGUUGGGUUACCCAUCAUGGUUCAAAGAUUGAAAAUGCUAUCGAGUUCUCUGAUAUUUACACCGUUGAGUUCGUCAAUUAGGGUUUGAUUCAUGAGUCAAUUCUCUCGAAUUCUGGAGGAUUCCCUAUGGGUUGUGACUCUGAGAUGUUUCGUUUUAUGGUGCAUGGGUUCCAAAGAUAAAAAAAACCCAGUGUUGUCUUUGGAUCCUGGCUAAUUACACCUUUAUUACACCUUUAGUCACGAGGAUCUGCAGAUAUGUCAAACAUGGGUGAAUCAAAUUAAUGCAUCUAUGGAAGAAAUGCAAGUUAGCAUACCCAAAAGUCUUUUAGUUCGUUUAAUUAUUGAUUUGACGUGUGGUUUUCUGGGUUAAUUUGCCAAACCAGGAUAAAGUUAUUAGAUGUAUCUUAUUUGAGACUUCAAUUCCUAAUCGGAUAGGUUUUUGUUCAUCCAUUGAGUGGGAAAAGGAAUGGCUGCAGAACUUGGGAAACUGUGGCUCCUAUAUUUUCUCGUGCUAAAGUGAAAACAAAGGUAAUUUCUGGGCAUACUACACAAGUCUCUUUCCAUGUCCUUCUUCUGAAAUUAUGUCAGACCAUUCUGUGAAUGGGAUAGAUAGACUCAAAACAAAGAGUUCCAGUAGCACAUUCUGGGGCUUCUAUUUCUCUUAUCAAUCAAAUGCUAAUUUAUAUAAGAUUUUAUAUAUGUGAUUGUGAUAGAGGCGGUCUAUUAUGGAAGACAGUUGAGCAAAAACUGUUAUACUCAUCCAGGGAUUCCCUACCUGUGGAAUUCAUAACUUUUCAUCUGCCUGUUCAAAUGUUAAACCAGCCAAAAUUCCAACCAUAUCAAUGAUCCUACUUCCCAGCAUCUUACAAAAGCCUUUAUACAGAUUUCCUGAUCUUUGUGAUUCUGAACCUUCAAAAAGUUAGGUGGCCACAAAGGCACAGUUUGUGAGCAUUUCUCAGAUUUCUCAGAAGCAUUCUUGAUGUUCGUUGUAUUCCAUGCUCUAGACUCUCUGCUUCUGGGAACACCCGGAAUGCUUCUGAGGAAUGUUCUCAAAGAGCCACUAAGUUUAUCCAAAGUCUGUCUCAUAAGAACAAUCAAUCUUAACCAUUGGUUCAAAGGCUUUGAUUUGCAUAAGAUGUAACAUCAUCUCAUUGACAUAUCACAGUCGGGACUUAUUUGGGAUUUGUUAAUUUUGGCAUGUGGAAAAUGACACCAUUAGAUGAUUCAAAACUUCUGAUUAAUAGUAAAUAUUAUGGUACUCUCUGUCAAGCCCAUUACAUAGAUCAUUUAUCUUGAGCUAAGCAGUUUCAAUCAACUUAUCCACACAAAGUGGAAAAAGUUCUUGAAAUAUGAUUUAUUUUUUCCAUUGGAAGCUGAUCAGCUAAUCAUAAUACAGAUAAGCUUGCCUAGUUGGGUGUAAUUAGGCACGUAGACCUAUGGUAUGUUGUGUUAAUGUAUAUAUUGACAUUGUCCUUUCCUAACAGUUUGAUAUUUUAGGUGAAAUGGUAGUGAACAUGGUAUCAGAGCAGGGAGAUCAAGUGUUUGACUAGUGGGAAGUGCAAAAAUUGGGUAAGGGCCGACACUUCUUCUCCCUUGGUGCUAUGCGAAGAAAUGUCGUGUGAGCUCCACUUGCAAGGACCAUGGGAUCUUGGCCUGCACGUGCAGAGGAAUGUUAAUGUAUACAUUGACACCACCCUUCCCUAGCAGUUUGAGCUUUUACCCUUUUGGUGGUAGCGAACAUGUUGUGGAUUUUCUAUUAUAUUGUAGCUUUGAAUCUGUGGUUAAUGGACCUCUUUAUCUAUAUUAUCUGUAUUGUUGUUUCUGUAUUAUUCAUUUUUUUUUUUAAUGGUGCUUGUAGUAUGCCUUUAUUUUUCUUCUCCUUAACUAAAACCUAUUUAUUUAUCUAAUAAAAGGAAACAUUAUUAUUUCUUAAUUCAGUGGCUUUGUUUUAUGAUUUAACUUCUAAGUUGGUGUAAACUUUUGUGGUUAACUUCUAAGUUGGUGUAAAUGUCCACGUAUCAGUUGAAUGGAAAAAGGAAAAUGGUAAGUUAUUAGCUUCGAUUGAUAUUCUUCUUCUUUUGUUUGAGUUCUCAUAAUAUGGGCUUGAUUUUUCGUUCAUCAAAUCACAUGCUCUUAUCAAGCUAGGUCUAGUGGAGGUACUUCAUAAGCUCACAUAAGUAGGCUAGAAUUCAAAGUGGUAUUUAUGGGGGCAGCUAACAAAUAGGAAAAUAACUGGAUUAUCCAAGUUUGAUUAUUAACACUAGCCAACUAGCACCACUGAAAGAGACGUUCAAUAGAGAAAACAAUUACAGAUUUUUUUCAUUGAAUCCCCAUUUGAUCUUUGACCUUCUUCUUUCUUCUUUGAGCAGAAUAAAUGAAUGUAGAACACUAGAAUUACCAAAUGGACUGGUUGUUUGCAAACACCCAUUGAGUCUGUCGAAGGUAGAGGAACAGGUUGUGCCCACAUUGCACUUGACAAUUUAGGAAAGGUAGUUGUAAGGUUCAAUGAUGAGACUAACUUACUUAGCGAGGUCAUAUUUUAAUUUUUGUAAGCUUAGAGAAUUUGAAUUUUCUUACUAACAUAUAUAUAUAUAUAUAUAUACAUGAACUAAACAUACAGUCCAUGUUUAAGUAAUUAGAAUCAUGGUGUUAAACUGCUUGAUUUAGUGCCAGGAACUGACAUCCUUGCUUGAUAGGUUCAAUUGAUGCUAGUGGGUAAUAGUAGGCACCAAGGUUCUAUCUAGAAAGAAGAAGCAAGUCAGUUUUGAGAAUUGUUCUUAACUUUCUCUUAGAGAAGUAGGAAGAAGCAAAGAUAAGGAUCCUCUAUGGGACUCUCAGCACAAAUCUAGAUGGAAGGAACUAAUUUUAAAUGUCAAAAAUCAUCCUCUAGGUUUGAUGUGUAUGCCUCUAUCUCCUCUCUCUGUGGUUAAUGUAGUAUUUUUUAAUUAACAAUCAAAACAGUACCAAACAGAAUCGAAUCCCUGAGAAUAUAAAACCAGAUUAAGAAGAAAUGCAUAAAACAAAAUCAGGAGCUCAUGUGGUCUCUAAACUCAGAUCGAGGACUGCAAACAAGGGUUAAGACACUCGCUGAAAUUCUUAGCUGAAUCCAAGGGCUGGAUAAGAAGUUAUGAGUCAAUCCUAGUAGCACUAGGAUAGGAGUAUAUCCGUAAAAUCACAGUUCAGGUUGUUAAACAAAGACCAGAACUAUAGUACUCAAUCGAAUCUGAUAUUAGUAAUUAGAUUUUAGCAACAAUAACCCAACGGAUUGGUUUGGUGGAUUUCUCUUGAGUUCUUGGGUUUUCUCUUGAAUUCUAGAAAAUUUAAGUCUUUUUAGGCAUGCUAUGUCAGGUGUGGCAAGGAGGAGAUCAUUGAUCAGAGUUUGGUUAGAAAGAUAGAAAGCCAAGUUUCCCAGAAUAGGACUUUGAUAAAUUAAUAUGCUCUUUUUUACUUUGGUAUUGUAAAUUUUUGAUGACUUUGACAAGUUUUGGAUGUGAUAAUGGCUUGGAGCAAUGGCAAAGGCCUCUUUCCGCCUACGCAGUGGUGCUGGUUCGAGUCCUGGGAACCAGCCUCUUUGUAAAAGGGGUAAGGCUAUCUACCUAUAUACCCUCCCAUAAUCCUGCUUAAGUGCGGGAAGCCUUUGUGCAUUAGGUAACCGUUUCUUUUUUUUUUAAUAAUAUAUUGAUGUCUUGAUUAUGUAAAAUAUAUGUUCUUUUUUCCUUUGGUAGUGUAAUUUUUUUCUCCUUAUUCCACUCAUGAUUUAUAAUGGCAGGUACAAUGCUACGUAGCUGCGCAACUUUAAGGAUCAAUAUUAGCAAUUACCAUAUAUUUGGCGCUGAGAAGAGGGCUGUGUUUUUUGAGUUGGCACCAGUAGGUUUAGACAAACGAGCAUUUGGGAUGAAGGGUUUUUUUUUUUUAAUUAAUUAAUUAUUUAUUUUGUCAUUGCUUUUUGUACUAUGUUUGUAGAAAGUGUAAUGAAACAAAUGGAUUUUAUGAUUGUAUAUAUUUUUAGUUUUUAAAAGUUAAAUGAAAACAAUGAAUUCGUAUA